AAUGCGAUAAGUAAUGUGAAUUGCAGAAUUCAGUGAAUCAUCGAAUCUUUGAACGCACCUUGCGCUCCUUGGUAUUCCGAGGAGCAUGCCUGUUUGAGUGUCA
rnacentral:rRNA from 1 species